AAAUUGAAGAGUUUGAUCAUGGCUCAGAUUGAACGCUGGCGGCAGGCCUAACACAUGCAAGUCGAACGGUAACAGGAAGCAGCUUGCUGCUUYGCUGACGAGUGGCGGACGGGUGAGUAAUGUCUGGGAAACUGCCUGAUGGAGGGGGAUAACUACUGGAAACGGUGGCUAAUACCGCAUAACGUCGCAAGACCAAAGAGGGGGACCUUCGGGCCUCUUGCCAUCAGAUGUGCCCAGAUGGGAUUAGCUGGUUGGUGAGGUAACGGCUCACCAAGGCGACGAUCCCUAGCUGGUCUGAGAGGAUGACCAGCCACACUGGAACUGAGACACGGUCCAGACUCCUACGGGAGGCAGCAGUGGGGAAUAUUGCACAAUGGGCGCAAGCCUGAUGCAGCCAUGCCGCGUGUAUGAAGAAGGCCUUCGGGUUGUAAAGUACUUUCAGCGGGGAGGAAGGUGUUGUGGUUAAUAACCGCAGCAAUUGACGUUACCCGCAGAAGAAGCACCGGCUAACUCCGUGCCAGCAGCCGCGGUAAUACGGAGGGUGCAAGCGUUAAUCGGAAUUACUGGGCGUAAAGCGCACGCAGGCGGUCUGUCAAGUCGGAUGUGAAAUCCCCGGGCUCAACCUGGGAACUGCAUUCGAAACUGGCAGGCUUGAGUCUUGUAGAGGGGGGUAGAAUUCCAGGUGUAGCGGUGAAAUGCGUAGAGA
rnacentral:rRNA from 1 species